GUGGUAAUAAGGGUGACUUAUGUCGUUACCCAGCCAACAGCUCUCACCUCUAACCGUUAAGUUUUCUCUCUCCUCUAUAUCAAUGGCGAUUUUUCCUUGGCUAAUUCCGUUGAAGUAAGUCUUGGGUAUCCCGAACAAAAAAAUUCUAGCAUUUGACUCCAUUGAAGUUAAAGGUAAGUAAGCUUCCUACUCAUCUCUGUAUUCGUACUUUUUUCGAGCAAUUUUGCAAAAUUUUAGAUCUAGGGUUUUAAAUUGAAUUAUCUGAUUAGUCAAAAAAUUCACGAAAUUGAAUUAAUAAUUCCAUUUGUUUUGAAAUUGAUUUCGUAAUUCACUCUGUGAUUGGAUUAGUAUCAAUCCCUCUGUUUGGCUCAUUGAUUAUCUGAACACUCAAAAUUUGGCGUUUGUAAAUUAGCUGAUUUAGGAUUGGCUAUCAACAAACAUUGCAUUGAAAGAAAGUUUAGUGAAUUUAUCCCCUUAUAUCACCUUUUUUAUCUCGCAACAUUGUUGUACAUGUUUUUCGGUGUAUUAUUUUGUCAGUAUCAUGUAGUUGUACACUGAUUGGAAUAAUUUGUGCUCAUAUUUUAGAUUUAUUAUGUGCGAUACAAGUAUUAAUGGGACAGGGAUAUGUUAUGGUUUACAAGGAUCUAUUCUGUUGUGAUGUUGCCAUGUCUUGUAUCUGAAAGGUGAUCUGUUGUUGGUGUAUAUUGUUUGGAUGGAAAUGGAACUGGAAUUGGAAAUUGAAGGCGUUAUAAGGGGCAGUGAGGUUGGUGUAGGUGAUAGGGGCAGUGGUGUUAAGUAUAUGAAUGACAUUGAUAUGGAGGAGGGUAAUGAUAUGGAGGGUAUAGAAGACAUAGUCGUUGCAAAUAGUUGUGGUCAGAGUGCAGUUGACUUGAAUGUUAGGUAUUUAUCCCCCUUGACAACACUACAUACCACUCACACUGUUGUUGGUAGCAACGAAAUGGACUGUGAUUGUCGAGGAGCCUAAAGAAGGAAUGGUUUUCCGGUCUUGCAAUGAGGUAGAAGCGUACUAUAAGGAGUAUGCUGAGCAGAUUGGUUUUGGAGUGUCUAGGGUUCAAGGUGUAAAUUCUAAGACGGAUAAGAAAAAAUGAAUAGCUAUGACUUGGAAGUGUGAGUGUUUGGGAAAGCCCGACAUGAGGGCUAGGAGGGAAGCGAAGAAGAGGGCAAAGGCAAUAGGUUUUGGUGGCUCAGGUGGCUUAGUUGAAGGGGUGGUAUGCGAGGAUGAGUUAAGUCGUAUGAAGAGGACCUCGAAAAAGUGCGAAUGUGAGGCGCGUGUUUAUGCUAGAAUGAAUGAUGAUGGAUUGUGGGUGUUGAAGACCGUGCACUUAGAGCAUAAUCACAAGAUUGAUCCGGCAAAUUCCAAGCUUGUGAAAAAUACCGCAUGAAGCACAUAACCUCUAAAAUGAGGAAGAAGUUGAUGGAUUACUAUGAGCAAGGUGUGCCCAUUUCUCAAAUACACGGUUGCAUGGAAACUGAACGAAACGGAAUGGAAAACAUGCCCCUCACCGUAAAAGAUUAACAACACGAGGUGUACAAGGCCCGGCGGUUGAAUAUGGUUGGAGGGGACUCGGUGGCAAUGAUGGAGUAUUUUGAAAAAAUGCAAUCCGGUAAUCAAAAUUUUUUCCAUGCACAACGUUUGGAUGAAGAAGGAAGGCUUAAGGAUGUGUUGUGGGUGGAUGCAAGAAGUAGGGUAGCUUAUGAAGAUUUCGGUGAUGCGGUUUGCUUCGACGCAACAUACCUAACAAAUGAAUACGAGCUCCCAUUUGCAAGCUUUGUUGGUGUAAACCACCAUGGGCAAUCGUUGUUGUUGGGAUGUGCUCUUAUUUCACAUGAAGAUUGUGAUACAUUUGCUUGGAUUUUUUGACAGUGGCUAGCUUGUAUGAAUAAUAGAGCUCCUAAUGCCAUUUUGACCGACCAAGCGACAGCUAUGCGGAGGCCCCUAGCUGAAGUUAUGCCCAACACUAUGCAUCGUUAGUGCAUUUGGCAUAUCAUGAGCAAAAUCCCUGACAAACUCGGCAAGUGUGCACGAUAAGUGGUUUACACAAUUAUCACACUCUUUGUGAUAAUUUUCUGCCAUGCUUAUUUGAUAUAAUUGUUGUAUGUGUAUAUGAUUGUUUGAUAUAUUUGCGUUAUUUAUUUGAUGAUAUUCUUCCAUGUUGAUAUGAUAAUAUAUGCUGUGUUGUUAAAAAUAAUAGUAACUGAUCGAAACGUGAGCAUCUUGAGUCUUAGGUACCAUUUUAGGCUAUUAUCCAUUCCUUUGUGUAAGGAAACAUGACACACAGAUAGAGCAGGUGAGUACAGGCAGACUAAUAAGUAUUUCUGCUCUUAGUGUUUAGGUGCUGUUCUGAUGUCAGCUUACCUGCUGUUUAUCUCAGCUAACCUUCUGUUAGCUAUAUUGAUGUUAGCUAUAUUUAUCUCAGCUAACCUUCUGUUGGCUAUAUUGAUGGUAUGCUGUGUCAACCGCAAAACCAAGCUACAUGAGUUUCCUCAGAAAUACACCAUGGCUCUAAAUCAACGCGUUCGAGAUGAAGUGAGUGCAGAUGAGCGGUGCUCGAAGUACGUUAGGAGGUUGGUUAGUGGCUAUACAGUUGAAAAAGUUUUCCAAAAGUUGUACACGAACAACAAGUUUCAAGAAGUUCAAACGGAGUGUUCGAGAAUGAUGUACUGCAAUGUACGAGGAGAAAAGGUUCUGUCCGAAAACUGUAUUCAAUUUUCAGUGAUCGAUCGUGUGUGGAUAGUACCUCCCGGUGCUAGUGAGGAUGUCAUUACUGAUAGGCGACGACUAUACAAUGUCACAUGUUGUCCUUUAACAAAGGAAGUGCAAUGCGAUUGUAGGAAGUUUGAGACAAGUGGCAUACUUUGCAAACAUUGCAUUCGGAUUCUGGAUUAAAUGUUGCCCGACGAGGUGCCAGAAAAGUACAUUCUAGCCCGUUGGAGGAAGGACGUACCAUGAAAGCACACAAGGGUGAAGGUGGCUUAUCAUGAUCCGGGCGACACGGACACUGUGAAGAGGUUUAACAAAAUGAUGGAGAAAUUCGAACCUUUAUGUGAAACCGCUUCCUUGGUGAACGAUCAAACAGUCAAUAUGGUAAUUGAAGCACUUUCAAAGCUUCAAAUUGCCAUUAAUGAGUGUAAGGAAAAGAAAAGUAAGGAGCAUGUUCCUGUAGUCAGUACAUUGUCAUCAGCAGCUGAAGAGGGAACGAUUUCCUCGGUUCGUAACCCAGUUCCUAGUACUUCAGAGCAUCAAGACCCCUGUCCAUCUGCCAUAGAACCUGUCAUCAAAGAUCCUAUAAUUAAGAAAAGGAAAAGGGGCAUGCCCAAGGCUUCGAGGCACAAGACACUUGCUGAAACCGGAUACAAGAAAACCACCAACAAGAAGAAGCUGCAAAACAAUGGUGCUGAAAGUGAUGUUGAGGACGAUCGACAUGCAACUAAGGGGAAGAAGGCACCCGAGGAGAAGGACACAACCAAGGGGGGAGUGGGAAAGUCUAAGGGGAAGAAGGCACCCAAGGAGAAGGACACAACCAAUGGGGAGUGGGAAAGUCUAGCAGAGUUAACAGAAAAGGAAAGGCGCAAGGGGAGAAGGAGACAACCAAGAGAGUUGCAAGUAGGGGAAAGGGAGAUGCACUACAAGGUCAAGGAAAGGGAAAUUCACAAAGUACUAUGAAGGCUAAGGGGAAGGCCAUUGCAAUGAAAGGGAAGUCCAUUCCCAUCAAAGGUGUUGCAACCAAGAAUUCUCGCAAGCAACCUGUUAAGGAGAAGCGUCUUGAUGAACUCAUGGCCUAAAACCUCAUUACAGAUGGCUAAAUGAUGGGUUAGAACGAUUUCUUGUGAUACUCCCUGACUUGUUUCAAGAGCGCCAUUUGAAGCUAUUCCAGAAAGUUAAGGAUGUUUCAGUAAGGUUUGCAAAUUAUAUUAAUUCUUUGAUAGUUGUAAGGUAGCUGCAGAACUGUUUAUGGUUAUGGCCAUCAUUUUAAACUUUGGAAUUUUAUGAUUUGCACCAAUUUAGGUGAGAUUUACACUUGGGAUAUUAUCAUUUGGUUAGCUGUGAAACACAUGGUAUUUUGCAACCUUUCAAGAAUGGUAUCGUAAAUUCUUAAAAAUAAGGAAAGCAAACCUUUGGGGUAGAUAUUACGCAGCGGAUGAGGCUCGUCUUGAUGCAACCCAAAAAUUAACAGAGCUAACGAAGGAAAUGCAAGAUAUUGAUGAACAACUUGCAAAGUGCGCUGAGGUUGCUCGGGAAAAGGAGAAGAAUAAGGGGCUUAAAAUUGGCAUCAGCUCUGCUCAUUCGAUCCCAGUUGCUGAGGAUAAGAACAAGAAUAAGGGGAUUAGAAUUGGUAGUAAUCUUGCUUCUCCGAUUCAGGUUGACAGCGAUAGCAACAGCGACGAAGAACCUGUCAAAAAGAGGAGCUUUGUGGGUUUCAAAGGGGAAUCAUCCAAAAGCAGUGGUCAGUGUAGCAAGGGUAAUGAGGUUUUAGGUGUUGGUGUCAAGGGAGGGGAAGCGGACAUGGAAAUCAGUGAUGAAGAGCCUGUUGUGAAACAGGUAAUCUCUUCAACCGUUGUUGUUCAAGCUGAAGGAGUGCAGGAGCAGCCUGCAAUUGGUGAAGUGAACGUUGGUGUGGCGUAGCAAGAGUAACAACAAGCACAGAUUAAUCAGGAGAGGGGCUCAGAGGUAGAAGAAGAAAACGAAGAGGAGGAAGAUGGGUUGUAGGCAGAAUAUGAUUCAUGGUAUGAUGGAGAAUCUGAAGAAGACAUUGGCUACCCAUACCAUCAUCAUUCACCUGAAGUGUCUGGUGAUGAUUCUGAAGCUUUUGGGUUUGACUCUGAUUAAGCUAAGCAAGUAUUUUAUGCAGUAUAGAUUUUGGUUAAGUAGAUAGUCAUUCUAGGGUCAGCUAGCUUUUUAAGUGGUUUAAUGUAAUUUUGUUAUUAGAAAUACUGGCCUCUAUAUAUAUUAUGUAGUGUAAUGACU